CCACAUUGGACUGUAUUACAGAACAAAAACCCAAAAGCCCUAACCAGAAAGACAACUCAAGGGUGUCAAUCUGUUUCUCCCGUUUCUAGUUCAUUACUUUUACUCUUCACUGGAAGCAGUCACAUCAUUGCAUCAUCACUCUCUCCUUUACUGGACUGAGCAUUUCCAGAGGGUAAUGCAAUAGGACUGAGGUGAUGGGGCUGGGAAACCAGGUCCCCUGGAUCUAAUCUUGGCUCCACUGUACAAUGGGAUCAAUGUCAAGUUACUCCUCUUCAACUCAGUAUCCUCACCCAUACAAUCGGAAUAAUGGGGCCUACCUUCUGGAC
rnacentral:lncRNA from 1 species